GGGAAGGAGGAUGUGGGCGCGGCGUACUACGUGUCCCGUGAGCCUCCGCGGCGGGGCGGGGCCGCGGCGGCGCUAGGAGGCGGAGGCGGAGGCGGAGGUGAAGGCGGAGCCGGAGUUGGAAAGGUGUCCCAAAGUUUUCUCUGAGGCCAAAAGAAGAAAAGACCCACCCACUCUAAAGAAAUUGAGAAUUGGACAGAGAAAAACCUUUAGUUUGUUCCCUUUCAGGCUAACUGUAGGGGCUUGUGGAGGAUGGAUGACUGUGUCCUGAAACACAAAAAGAAAGCCUUGACAGGAAUCACUUUAAUUUCUUUUGUUUUUGAUGACUAGAUAUAUGCUUCACUAUUGUCAA